GGUGCAGCGGCUCGGCGCGGCCCCCCAGCCAGCGCCCCCACCCGGAGCCGGUGCUGGUUCCGGGGAAUGACAAAUAGAAUGACGGAAAUUACAGCUUGGUGUUACCACCUUUAUUUUUUCCAAGAUUACCUGCAAUGAUGAAAUGAAGUAACUCAAGAUGAGCAAGUUAAAAGUGGUAUCAGAGAAAAGCCUUACCAAUAAUUCUCGGAUUGUGGGACUCCUGGCUCAGCUGGAGAAGAUAAACACUGAAUCAGCAGAAUCAGAUACUGCCAGAUAUGUCACAUCAAAGAUUCCUCAUCUUGCUGAAAGUCAAGGUGUUAACACAUGACUGUGGGAAGCCAAAAACUGUUCACACUGUAACAAGGAUUCUGUUUUUAUGAGGUUAUUCGUUCAAUUAUUAAGUAAAAAAUACCCUUCAAAUGCCUCAUCUGUACCUAUCAACUUAAAAAAGGAACCACUGGAAUUAGCCAGCUCUCAUCACAAAGGAAACUGAUAUAAUACUCAGGAAUGCCAAGGAGUUUGGAGACAAGAAGGAAGACAGGCAGACUUAGACAGUGAAAGAGAGAUACAGAGAGAAAUGUCUUCCUUCUGUUGGUUCACCCCCCCAAAUGGCCACUACAACCGGCGCGCUGUGCCGGUCCAAAGCCAUGAGACAUGUGCUUCCUACAGGUCUCCCAUGCGGGUGCAGGGCCCAGCACUUGGGCUAUCCUCACUGCCUUCCCGGGCCACAGCAGAGACUGACUGAAAAAGCAGCAAGUGGGACAGAAUCUGACGCCUCAACCGGGACUAGAACCUGGAGUACCAGCACCACAGGUGAAGGAUUAGCCUAGUGAGCCGUGGUGUGACCUUAAACUUAAUGAUUUCAUACUGUUCUCCCUCCUCCUCCUUUCAUAAUGUUCUAAGUAUUAAAUGGAAAACUAUACAGAAAUCACAAAUUUGUUCCACAACACUAAACUAUGGCACACAGUACUUAAUUUCUCUAUAUGAAAUCUGGCUCAAAGCCUCAAUUUUAACAGGUGGGAAAAUAUCCAAUAUGAGUGACUCUUGGGACCUUUUGUAUACUUAGCUUAGUAUCCAAUGUCAAAAAAGAUACUAUGGUUGGCCAAUGCAGUGUUUUGUUGCAGCUCCCAAGACAAUGGAGCCUGAACAUUAGUCAUCUCAGCAAAUAUCAUUUCAUUCCUUAGGAACCGCUACUGCCUCCUGGAUGACUUCCACACCAGACCCAUCCACUUAGAACCUGUCUUUACAAUGUACUGUUAGGCAGCUCUCCAACUUUCAACCCCUUACCUCUUCUUCUUCAACCUCAUCUUCUCUUCCUAGGAACACCUAGAUGAAUGCCACUCCUACAUGAGAAUUUGGAUAGCACUGUACAAAAGAUGUGUUGAAGCUGGUUUUGGUCGGAAACAUGAAAACUGUUAAUAGCUCCUGAGACCAAGAACCCAGAACUCCUCAGAAGACAAGCGUGAAAAGUUAUAUUCUUUCCUUUUGGAGUUCCUUCAGGCAGGAAAGUGUAAUCAAUAGCUCAGUGAAUUAUCCUGCGACAAUUGAAGAGUACCUAAAGCUGAGAAAGUUGGAUAAGCAAGAUCAAUUUCCCUGUCAUUGUUGUCAACAAAACCUCCCACCCACUAUGAAGCUUCCAUCACAAUCAAGAGGGGAUACUUGCUGCCACCUCCUUUCGGACACUACACUUAAUAGAAGGCCCAUGAGUGACAAACUUUCUUACUGCCUCAUCUGGUAUUUCUCUGAAUGGAAGAAUAUGAUGACUAACUGGUAAUUACAGUAUAUGCAAAAGUGAAAUGAAUGAAAGCAAUGUGAUAAAGAAUAGGAGGGAGGAAUUGGGAAGAUUUUAUCAUAAGAUAUCUAAACUACCUGUAAAAUUUUAGUUAUUCAAAAAUGGACUUAGAUGACUUGUGAGUGCAUAUUACAAUCUCUAAUGCAGGCACUGAAUUAUUUUGGAAGAAAUGUUAUUCGUAAGCUGGGAAAGGAGAAAAGAUUGAAUCAGAUGAAAUUUUUAUUUAAAAUACUAUGAGAUCCACAGCAAAAGAUCACAGGAAGCUCCAUUUCUCUUUGACAUAGAAUUAAACUCUGAUGCUCUGUUAAAGCAAUGUGUUAAAGUAAUCUAUUAUGUUCUCUUGAUGUCUGUUAAAUUCUAAUUGUUCAAAAACAGCUGAAUUUUUAUUAAGAGCUAUGGGUUAUUUAAAUAUGUGCUUUUUUCAAAAAUUUGAAUAAUCACCUUGUAACAAUGAUCAAAUUUGGUCUAUGUUAUGUCAUGAUUUUAAGAAAUCUUAUUUCAACCAGAUAUUUUGGAUUUUGAGCCUUCUUGGCAUUCUUGACAGGCAUUCAAAAAAUCAAAGUUUCAAACAAUCUGGUCUCUAAAAUUUCCAGUAAAUCCUGGACUCUGGUUUUUCCAGUUUGGGCCCAACUGAAAAAAUCGAAGGACCUAUGUCUCUCAUCUUAUAGAGACACCAACUAAUCAGUCUAUUUGGAGUAUAUUAGAAGGACUGUCAAGA